UCGUGACCCUUAAACAAAACAGACCGUGAACAUGUCUCUCAUGUCGUCGAGCUUUGGCUCGGCACAAGGUCCCCUUGCUCCAACCUGGGGCAGAGGGGCCACAAAAGAACCCACGGCGCCUUAGGCGUCAAGGAACACUCAUGUUGCCUUGCACAGCGGAGUGGUCGGCAUGCCUUCCGCUCCCUGAGCAGCGAUGAUAUCUUAAUC
rnacentral:misc_RNA from 1 species